rnacentral:lncRNA from 1 species
UUUUAUAGGAAAUUAUGUUUCCAUGUCUAUGUGAAGGUGAUUUUAAAUAGUUAGCGACAGUGUUUCUCUAAAUAUUUCUUCAUUGAAGAUUGUUUCACUGAGGGUUGCUUUACUGAAAAUUGCUUCAUUGAAGCUCUUGUUAAAGAAAUCUCCUUGAUUUAACACCUCUCUUUUCUGAAAAGCUCUGUCAUAAAAGAACUCUUUAGUAAAAUCUUCAUUAAGCUAAAAAAGUGAAAAUAGCUCAUUAGGGUAUUUCUCUAUUUGGUUAUCCCCAAGAGCUUGGCUUUGUGGAUAAGAUAUGAUGAUAGUUAAGAGAUCUCCUAACAUUUCUAUGAAGUGCUUCUCCUUUUCUUAAUAUUUCUUCAUUGAAGAUUGUUUCACUGAGGGUUGCUUUACUGAAAAUUGCUUCAUUGAAGCUCUUGUUGAAGAAAUCUCCUUGAUUUAACACCUCUCUUUUCUGAAAAGCUCUGUCAUAAAAGAACUCUUUAGUAAAAUCUUCAUUAAGCUAAAAAAGUGAAAAUAGCUCAUUAGGG